GAUGAACGCUGGCGGCGUGCCUAAUACAUGCAAGUCGAGCGAACAGACGAGGAGCUUGCUCCUCUGACGUUAGCGGCGGACGGGUGAGUAACACGUGGAUAACCUACCUAUAAGACUGGGAUAACUUCGGGAAACCGGAGCUAAUACCGGAUAAUAUAUUGAACCGCAUGGUUCAAUAGUGAAAGACGGUUUUGCUGUCACUUAUAGAUGGAUCCGCGCCGCAUUAGCUAGUUGGUAAGGUAACGGCUUACCAAGGCAACGAUGCGUAGCCGACCUGAGAGGGUGAUCGGCCGCACUGGAACUGAGACACGGUCCAGACCCCUACGGGAGGCAGCAGUAGGGAAUCUUCCGCAAUGGGCGAAAGCCUGACGGAGCAACGCCGCGUGAGUGAUGAAGGUCUUCGGAUCGUAAAACUCUGUUAUUAGGGAAGAACAAAUGUGUAAGUAACUAUGCACGUCUUGACGGUACCUAAUCAGAAAGCCACGGCUAACUACGUG
rnacentral:rRNA from 1 species